rnacentral:rRNA from 1 species
UACGUAGGGUGCGAGCGUUGUCCGGAUUUAUUGGGCGUAAAGAGCUCGUAGGCGGUUUGUCACGUCGGCCGUGAAAACCUGCAGCUUAACUGUGGGCGUGCGGUCGAUACGGGCAGACUUGAGUUCGGCAGGGGAGACUGGAAUUCCUGGUGUAGCGGUGAAAUGCGCAGAUAUCAGGAGGAACACCGGUGGCGAAGGCGGGUCUCUGGGCCGAUACUGACGCUGAGGAGCGAAAGCAUGGGGAGCGAACAGG